rnacentral:rRNA from 1 species
UACGGGGGGGGCAAGCGUUGUUCGGAAUUACUGGGCGUAAAGGGCUCGUAGGCGGCCAACUAAGUCAGAUGUGAAAUCCCCAGGCUUAACCUGGGAACUGCAUCUGAUACUGGAUGGCUUGAGUUUGGGAGAGGGAUGCGGAAUUCCAGGUGUAGCGGUGAAAUGCGUAGAUAUCUGGAGGAACACCGGUGGCGAAGGCGGCAUCCUGGACCAACACUGACACUGAGGAGCGAAAGCCAGGGGAGCAAACGGG